rnacentral:lncRNA from 1 species
GCGACUCAUCCCAGGCUGCCCAGGGUUGGCAAGCAUGUGCCUGUGAGAGCUGAGUGGAGGAAGCCCUCGGUUCAUAUGACCAAUUAGAGGAGCUUCACGCUGGGCUGUUCUGUUUGAUGCUGGACCCACUGCUAAUUGGCGCGUCCGUCUUCGGGGGAGCAAGGUUAAGUUCAAAUGCACCACCGUCUUGUUCCUCGAGCUGUCCUGACCCCGGGGAUGAUGGGAGCUGACAGAGAGCAGAUUGGGUGGCACUUAUUCUACUGAUUGAGCCUCAGUGCGGAAACAGAGGUCGACAACUAUCAAACGCUGUCCUGAAAUGGCGAGGAGAGAGGUCUCUGGGACGGGGGGCGCUGCCAGACCGCCUUCACCUCAAAGAGACAGCUGGUGCUGCAGACAACAAGGCCAUCGCAUCAGGGUGAGGACUGGCAGGAGUCUGUUGCUUGGCCAGAGAGCAGCUGCAAUACGGCAAUGCUGUAGUCCCACAUCUAAUAAUAGAACUGGAACAACAGGAGGCCACAAUCAUCUGUGUGUAAUUUGA